UGUGUCAAUUGUGUGGUCUAACACUAACCCCCAAUUUCUACCAGUUGCAGAACGACUGCGGAUCCGUUCCGCUGCGUGACGGCUCCGUGCUCUGCCGUCCGUCAACACCAACCAGGUCCGGAUUUGUUGCGGAAUGGCUGCGGCCACGACUGACAGCUGAAGUCACGAGGACCCACAAGAUCUUGCGAAUGUAUGUAUAAUAAAACCACAAAAAAAUAACAACAGCUUGUUUCCAUCCAGUGGAGUAGAGGGUAAACGACUCUGUGCUGUGUUUUCAAGGUGUAGCGCAGGGGUAUAUGAUCCGCCGUGAGCACGGUCUAUUUUAUUUUGAAAAUUAACCUGAUGUUUUAUUUUGUUUCUGUGCUUGACUUCCUGUCCUGUUCUGCCGUGUGCUGAAUCGCUGUGGAGCUCUCCGGCGUCUGGCAAAAAUAGAAGCUUCGUGUAUCUGCUCCGCAGGGCUCUGGAUUGCCGAAGCUGGAACGGAGUCGGAACGCAGUCGGAACGCAGUUAGUAGAAAUACCCACGUUGACUUUAAUGGAAACGUAACAACUCCGCCGCCGUUCCAGAGCGGAUCCGCCGCCGUUCCGCAACCGGUGGAAAUUAGGAGUAAGCGCCUAUGUACAAGAAACCAAAGGUGAAACAUUGUCAAUGUGUUUUCUGUAAUAACUACAUCAUCAUUAUGGCGUCUAUAGCUCCACCCAGUCAUAACUGUUUAUCUCUCCUUGCAGUAGUAUCCCCCACUCCACUCAGGGAAACUUCUGUCAUGAGCUUCAAACUUUUCAGAAAACACUUUCACUUCCCACGUCAUUUAAAAUAAAUGAAAUCUCAAUUCUGAAUUAAAACCUAAAUCAAACCUUUGCAGUGUAAUCCCCUAGCUGCUGGCAUUUGACUUUUUGUACAUUUUCACCCACUGUCAGUCACUCUGGGCAAUUUAAUUGGGACAAGGAUCAGGUCAAAACAUCAGUAUACAAUCAAAUGGAUAUUUACUUUGAAAGUCAUGAAUAAACUGUACACUAUAGAGCUGAAACCAUCAAUUAAUUGAUAGUCGAUCUUUCGAAUAUCAAAUGGUCUCUAUUUUUAUAAAAAAUUCAGAAAUUCUAUAUAUCACACAACAAAUUUAUUAUUUUAGAAAUCAGCAGGUUCAUGGAUAAUGAAAAUAAUUGUUAAUUGCAGCCCUAAUAUGUUACAUUACCUGGAAUCCUGUCAAUACAACACUGUUAUGGUAAACGUCUAUGGAACUUUCACAGUUACAGUUCUGGCCCUGUCGGUUGGUGUCCAAUAUUCACUAAGCACUGAUGGCAAGCUGUGGCUGCAUUAUGUUCCUGCACGGUCUGAUGAUGCUUCUAUUAAUGGAGACAUUUGCAUGUCUCCCCUUUUACAACCCAUUUUUGUCUUGUAUAAUUAUUGAAUGUCGGUCAUAAUGGCAGCUCUGAGCUCUUGCCCUUUGACUGAAACUUUCAAAAAAAUCUGAAUUUUAGGUAAUUUAUCUGUGAAGGUUAUUAUUGGUGAUGCAAAGUGCAUUGUCAGAGCCGCUGUUAAUCAAAUACGCUGAAAGAAACAAAAGUACACUAUGACCACAAUUAUUACAGUCAAUGUAAUGCCUGUGUGUAUACAUGUGCACUGUAAGUGAUGGACAAGG